AAAUUGAAGAGUUUGAUCAUGGCUCAGAUUGAACGCUGGCGGCAGGCCUAACACAUGCAAGUCGAACGGUAACAGGAAGCAGCUUGCUGCUUUGCUGACGAGUGGCGGACGGGUGAGUAAUGUCUGGGAAACUGCCUGAUGGAGGGGGAUAACUACUGGAAACGGUGGCUAAUACCGCAUAACGUCGCAAGACCAAAGAGGGGGACCUUCGGGCCUCUUGCCAUCAGAUGUGCCCAGAUGGGAUUAGCUUGUUGGUGAGGUAACGGCUCACCAAGGCGACGAUCCCUAGCUGGUCUGAGAGGAUGACCAGCCACACUGGAACUGAGACACGGUCCAGACUCCUACGGGAGGCAGCAGUGGGGAAUAUUGCACA
rnacentral:rRNA from 1 species